rnacentral:tRNA from 1 species
GCGCUCUUAGUUAAAUGGAUAUAACGGGCCCCUCCUAAGGGCCAAUUAUAGGUUCGAUUCCUGUAGAGCGCGCCA